rnacentral:rRNA from 1 species
UACGUAGGGUGCGAGCGUUAAUCGGAAUUACUGGGCGUAAAGCGUGCGCAGGCGGUUUGUUAAGCCAGAUGUGAAAGCCCCGGGCUCAACCUGGGAACUGCGUUUGGUACUGGCAAGCUAGAGUACGGCAGAGGGGGGUGGAAUUCCACGUGUAGCAGUGAAAUGCGUAGAGAUGUGGAGGAACACCGAUGGCGAAGGCAGCCCCCUGGGCCGUUCCUGACGCUAAGACGCGAAAGCGUGGGGAGCGAACGGG